GGCAGAGUUGAUGGAAUACUCCUAUCUACUGGAAUUGGCAGAUGAGUGCGAGGACCCACACAUGAGAUUAGUAUAUGCCGCAACAUGGUUCAUAUCUGUAUACUAUGCCUUACAACGCACAUGGAAGCCUUUCAACCCCAUUCUUGGUGAAACUUAUGAAUUUGUUAACCAUGCUGGAAUCACAUUUAUUGCUGAGCAGGUUUGUCAUCACCCCCCAAUUGGUGCAGCACAUGCAGAAAACGAACAUUUCAAAUAUGAUAUCACCUCAAAGGUGAAAUCUAAAUUCUUGGGGAACUCAGUUGAAGUCUAUCCACUUGGCAGGUCAAGACUCACACUGAAGAAGUCUGGUGUUGUCCUAGAUUUGGUGCCGCCUCCAACAAAAGUUCACAAUCUUAUAUUUGGGCGAACAUGGAUCGAUUCUCCUGGGGAGAUGAUAUUGACGAACUUGACGACAGGGGAUAAAGUGUUGCUGUAUUUUCAACCUUGUGGCUGGUUUGGUGCUGGUCGC
rnacentral:misc_RNA from 1 species